GCAUUAAUGGGGUAGUGGUAACCUGGGUCGUUGCCAUUUGUUGUCGUAUUUGAUGUUCGACCCGCCGGGGGUUCGAUUCCCCCUUAAUGCA